GACGAACGCUGGCGGCGUGCUUAACACAUGCAAGUCGAACGGAAAGGCCCUGCUUUUGUGGGGUGCUCGAUUGGCGAAGGGGUGAGUAACACGUGAGUAACCUGCCCUUGACUUUGGGAGAACUUCAGGAAACUGGGGCUAAUACCGGAUAGGAGCUCCUGAUGCAUGGUGGGGGUUGGAAAGUUUCGGCGGUUGGGGCUGGACUCGCGGGUUAUCAGCUUGUUGGUGGGGUAGGGGCUUACCAAGGGUUUGACGGGUAGCCGGCCUGGGAGCGUGACCGGCGACAUUGGGCCUGCGAGACGCCCCAGUCUCCUACGGGAGGCAGCAGUGGAGAAUAUUGCGCAAUGGGCGCACGCCUGUUGCGGCAGCCCCGCGUGCGGAAUGCCGUCCUUCGGGUUGUAAACCGCUUUCGCCGGUGACGUAGCGUUCGUGACGGUAAUGGGUAAAAAAGCACCGGCUAACUACGUG
rnacentral:rRNA from 1 species